CCUACGGGGGGCUGCAGUCGGGAAUUUUGGGCAAUGGGGGCAACCCUGACCCAGCAACGCCGCGUGAGCGAUGAAGGCCUUCGGGUCGUAAAGCUCUGUCGGGAGGGAAGAAGGCUCUCGGGGUGAAUAAUCCCGGGGGAUUGACGGUACCUCCAAAGGAAGCGCCGGCUAACUCCGUGCCAGCAGCCGCGGUAAUACGGAGGGCGCAAGCGUUGUAGGGAACCACGGGACGUGAAUGUGAAGUACGCGGGCCUAACCCCGGAACUGCACUCGAAACUGCCUCGCUAGAGUCUCGGAGAGGGUGGUGGAAUUCCCGGUGUAGUGGUGAAAUACGUAGAUAUCGGGAGGAACACCAGCGGCGAAGGCGGCCACCUGGACGAUGACUGACGCUGAGACGCGAAAGCGUGGGGAGCAAACAGGAUUAGAUACCCCUGUAGUC
rnacentral:rRNA from 1 species